GGCUGAGUAGCUCAGUUGGUUAGAGCGGCGGCUUCAUAAGCCGUAGGUCACCGGUUCAAGUCCAGUCUCAGCCA
rnacentral:tRNA from 1 species